GAUGAACGCUGGCGGCGUGCCUAAUACAUGCAAGUCGAGCGAACGGACGAGAAGCUUGCUUCUCUGAUGUUAGCGGCGGACGGGUGAGUAACACGUGGAUAACCUACCUAUAAGACUGGGAUAACUUCGGGAAACCGUAGCUAAUACCGGAUAAUAUUUUGAACCGCAUGGUUCAAAAGUGAAAGACGGUCUUUCUGUCACUUAUAGAUGUAUCCGCGCUGCAUUAGCUAGUUGGUAAGGUAACGGCUUACCAAGGCAACGAUGCAUAGCCGACCUGAGAGGGGGAUCGGCCACACUGGAACUGAGACACGGUCCAGACUCCUACGGGAGGCAGCAGUAGGGAAUCUUCCGCAAUGGGCGAAAGCCUGACGGAGCAACGCCGCGUGAGUGAUGAAGGUCUUCGGAUCGUAAAACUCUGUUAUUAGGGAAGAACAUAUGUGUAAGUAACUGUGCACAUCUUGACGGUACCUAAUCAGAAAGCCACGGCUAACUACGUG
rnacentral:rRNA from 1 species